AUGUAAUGUAAUGCCUACAAUAUUAAUGCACCAUAUCCCAUUAAAACUUCGCAGUUAAGUGAACUUGGGAUAAAGUAGUACUGUGAAGGGUGACCUCCCAAGAAGUCCUAGUGUUUUACAUG
rfam:Picea glauca, whole genome shotgun sequence.